UGUAUGACUAUGAUUCUAUAACUCAAUGACUCUGUGAUUAUAUGACUCUAUGAUUAUAUGACUCUAUAAAUCCAUGAUUCCAUGAUUAUAUGACUCUGUGAUUUUAUGGUUCCAUGAUUUUUUGACUCUGUGAUUUUAUGAUUCUGUGUGAGAUGCCAGCAAGUUUCUGAGGAUCUCUGUUAGGGCAGGCUAUAUUUAAAAUCAUUUUGUAUUUGUAAUGAUUUUAAAGUCAUUAUAUUCUUAUCAAAAUCCCACAUGCCUAUGUUCACUGGCAAGGAACUGAUAAUUAGUGAAAGAAAGCAUGCCUGGACAGGAGGAACCCUGUGCAGAGCCCUGUGCAGAGUCUACUUAUUAUUGAUGUACUGACAGAAUUGCCCUGAAGAAUUUCUAAAAGUUGUGAUCAUCAAAUCACAGAAUCACAGAGUCAUGGAAUCAUGGAAUGGCCUGAGUUGAGGGGGACUUAAAGUUCCAUCCACUUCUAACCCCUGCCAUGAGCAGGGGCAACUUCCACUAUCCCAGUGUGUUCCAAGCCCCGUCCCACCUGGCCUUGGACACUCCCAGGGAUCCAGGGGCAGACACAGCUUCUCUGGGCACCUUGUGCCAAGGCCUCAGAACCCUCACAGGGAAGAAUUUCUUCUCAAUAUCCAGUCUAAAUCUUCUCUUUGUCAGUUUAAAGCCACUCCACCUUGUCGUGUCAUUCCAUGCUCUUGUAAACUGUCUCUCUCCCUCCUCCUUUCAGUCUCCCUUUAGGCAUUGGAAGGCCACAACGAGGUCACCCCAAAGCUUCUCUUUUUACAGAAUUCCCAGAAUGACCAGGUUGGAAGAGACCUUCAAGACCAUCGAGUCCAACCCAGCCCCAACAGCUCAACUCAACCCUGGCACCCAGUGCCACAUCCAGGCUUUGUUAAACACACCCAGGGAUGGGGACUGCACCACCUCCCCGGGCAGCCAUUCCAGAACUUUAUCACUCUUUCUGUGAAAAACUUUUUCCUGAUAUCCAGCCUGUAUUUCCCUUGGUGCAGCUGCAGGCUGUGUGCUCUGGUUGUGCCAGUGCUGCUGCAGAAAGAGCCCAGCCCAGCUGAGCACAGGCACCUUUCAGGAGCUGUGCAGAGUGAUGAGGGCAGCCCUGAGUCUCCUUUUCUCCAGGCUGUGCACCCCCAGCUCCAUUUUUCCAGCCUGAGCAAUCCCAAUUCCCUCAGCCUUUCCUCCCAGCAGAGCUGCUCUCAUCAUCCUGGUGCCCCCUCUGGACUGGCUCCAGCAGCUCCAGCUCCUUCCUGUGCUGGAGAGCCCAGAGAGCUGAUUGCACACACUGCAUCCACAUGGGAAUACAAGUAAGGGUGAUGAAUUUACUGCUCUUACAGAGCACUGAUCCUGCUUCUUGCCUCUGGGAUAAAUGCUGCAUCCCUGAGGAGCUGAUGGCUGGCUCAGCCUUGCUGCACACAUGAAUAAUGCUCUUUCCAAGGAGAAACAUGAUGGGAAUCAUUAAUUCAGAAAGAGCUGCUGAUUCCAGCCUCUCCAGCACUACACCUGGAGUGUAUCUAUCAUCCCAAAGGGAAUCUCCAUCAGAGCAGACUGGUCUUUGAGGAGGACAGGAGCCUGCAUCACUGAGCUGACCUUAUUUCAUGCUGCUGUUGACUCACAAGAAGGAACUGCAGCACAGAGAUCUUCAGUGUCCAAGCAGAAAGGUUAAAGGGAAACAAUGGACUGCAGAUUUGACAAUGGAAUUGAAAUGUAGCAGCUGAAAGGAAAACAUGUAGUUAGAUGCUGAGGCACAGACAAGAAAAAUAUAUUAGGUUGGAAAGAGAUACAGGGUAGAUUGAGAAAUUCAGUGCAGUGAAAGCCAGCACUAAAAAGAACAAAUUUCAGAAGCAAACAUAAUGUAGCCAUACCAGCAUUGCAGAUGAAUCAUGGAAUAAUUUGGAUUAUGGAAGUUCACUUUUGCCUGAAGUUUAUCCAAAUUUGUAAAUCUCUGAAUUCAACCUCUUCUUCUUAGCUUGAAAAAUUGUUUAUCCAUCAAGUGUUUGUACAGCAUGUGGACUUUGCUAAUGGCUUAUUUUUGGUCUGGACAACUUUUUGAUCCCCUUUACAUUUCCAAAAUGAAACUCAACACUGGGUGAAAAUCAAAUUUCUCUCUUUCUUUCUGAUUUUUCAGAGACUUGUCUCCAUAGUUUUUCAUUUAUGUCAGUGACUUUAUGAAUUGAGUGGGUUUUUUACUGCUGAAUCUUUGUUUCAAGCUUAAAGAACCUCCAGGAUGUUGGCAUUUGAGAUUCUUGAGGGGAAAAUAAAGGAUCAGAAAUGGCAUAGAAGUAAAAGAAGUUGAAAAAACAUAUUGUAGGGAAUUGUAUUUAUGGGAGGGCAAAUAUAAGUGAAUUUCCCAUGUGAAUAUAUGAUUUUUAAAGAAAUGCAAAUUUCAGCAAGUAUUUAAGCCCUCUACACCAAGCUCUUUCAUUCUGGGGCUCACAAGUGAUGUGAGUUUUCAAAUUUUUCUCCUGAAUUUUCCUGGAGUAUUCUGGGAAUAUUUAGGCUAGGUAAGAGGUUGCUAUUCAAGACCAUUAUCUCCAAGAAGCACCUCCCACAAUUUCUCAUUUUAUCCAGAAACAGAAUAAAUUCUGUGUUUGGAGGCAGGACUGAAUUAAAUGACACAUCCACAAGAAUUGUGCAGAUUUUCUACACUGUAAGUGUUCUUUUAAUCACCAAAGCAGACAGAUUUAAGGCAGAUUUCUAUGCUGGGUGCUCCACAGGAGGCCAGAGGAGGGAGUGACACACUCACAGAGGAAGAACCUUUUUGGAAAUCAGUUAAUCACAAAAAAGACUUUGGGUUUGGUGCAGAUUCACCCACUGAUUCCAUACAUGGAAUUUAUGAAAAGGGGUUAGAGUUAUGGUAUAUUAGCAGGUAAAUUUCACUGGGUGUUGCUUUUUGUCCCUCACUCACACCUCCCACAUGCCCAAACCCCUGAACCCUCCACACCCUGUAAGGAGAAAUCCCCAAAGGUAACAGGAAUGUUCCUGGUUUUGUCUUGCUGAUAUUUCUGAGAGAAUGAAGAGGAUCCCUGGGAGCAGAUCAGCUGCUCCAUCUCUGCAGCUGAACAGCACAGCUGGCGUUGAGAUGUUGCCCUCACCAAAGCACACAGCUUCCAUGGAUCAUCUGAGCUCACAAAUGCCAGGGGCUUUGCACAGCCAUCCCUGCCAUCCCUGAGUGAGCCUCUCCAUCAGGACAACCUCUUGAGCAAAAUCAAUAUGUCAGUGCUUUUACUUAAUGCAAGAUAGAUAUCAGGAGGAGUGACGGGUUGUGAGAUGUGGCACCUCCAGGAGUUACAGAUUGUCACCUGUGCUUCACAGUGUAUAAAUGGCCUUUUGUUAAACACCAAGCUCUGGAUGCUGACUCUGCCUCCAGUUCUGGAGUCCCCAGUACAUGAAAGAUAUGGAACUGUCUGAGCAGAGCCUGAAAAGGGCCACAAAGAUGCUCAGAGAGCUGGAGCACCUCUGCUAUGAUAAGAGACUGAGAGAAUUGCUCAUCCUGAAAAAAGGAAGGCUCUGGGGAAACUUUAUUCCAGAUACUCAAUAAAUGAAGGGCAUUCUGCUA